GUACGGGGAGUAAAACAUUUCAUUAUAACGGACAGAGACUAGACAGGAACAGCGUCAGAAACCAAUUUAAAAGACAAAAACAAUACUAUGCAGCAGUGGGGAACAGAGCAGGGAACUGACAAAUAUAGGGGAGGAAAUAUCAAGUGAUAAGUGAGUCCAGGUGAGUCCAGUAACGCUGAAGCGAUUGACGAGGGAGGGCAGGUGUGAGUGAUGAUUGGCAGGAGCGUGUGAUGCAGGGUAAUCUGGCGCCCUCAAGCGCCAGGGGAAGGGUGGAGCGGGAGCAGAUGUGACAUUACCGAAGAGCUCAGUGACUUUCAACGUGGCACAGUCACAGUCAGUCUGUCAAGUUUCGUCCCUGCUAGAGCUGCCCCGGUCAACUGUAAGAUUAGGAGUCUGUCAGAGGAAGUCUCUAAACCUUGGCUGUGUGAGCUUCAUUCCAUCUGAUGAAGAAGGAGGUGCAGUAUGCAGACACACAGGAAAAUGUAUAAAGUGGAAUUGAUUUUGUGUGAUUGCUGGGGACCCCCACAACAGCUACACUCCUAAGACCACUCUCACCGUGUCAACAUGAACAACUCCAGAGAAAUACAAUACAUGCCUGCAGACCCUUACACAGGCAUGGUCUACUACCCAGUGCACCAACUACCAACCCUCCUUCUACACACAAAGACACCGCUCACAUGAUCCUGUUCUAUGCGUGUAAAACAAGGGUUAGUAGGCGGUCAGGUGGGGGGAAUAUUGUGGAGGGGGAUGGCCAGGUUGAUUACAGAAGCAUAGUAUUCCUAGAGUGAGGCUGUGACGCUUCCACAAGUGUGAGAUGUUAGGCACAUACAUAUAUAUGUCUGGUGUAAAGUUAAAAACUUGGCACGGUUAAACUUUUAUGUGUCUUUUCAUUUCCAUGCUGUUAUAUUAUGUAUCGGUGUUAUUUGCACUGGCAAAUAAAUCGAAGAUGUCCGCCAUUGCUAUUUUGGUGGCUCAACCCUUUAAGAGUGCAUGUCCCUUUAAGAAAGGAAGCGUUCUGGGAAAAAAUGGUGGUGUAUACCUGGCUAAGGUUUUAUUGCUGUUCAAAAGCCUUUUGCAGCCUAGAACAAACCGUUAAAUGAAUAUACCUUGCAAAUGUGUAUUAUUUCUCACCCAACAAAGGAAUAUUAUUUUUGUUGGUUUUAAAGGAUUCCAUGAACAUUGACCCAUUCUGAGGAAAUCUCUACAAGGUCGGAUUUCCACUUUCUUCUAUAGUCCGGUGAGAUUUAUCCUGUGAAUGUAUUUUUUCACACUCAUUAUUGGAUAUAUAUAUAUAUAUUGGAUACAUAUAUUUGUGCAUUUUUUGCUUUGGGAUUGACUUUUUUAAAAUUGGACAUUGUGACUUUUGCGUUCGGAUUCUUUGUCAACUUUAUUUUGGAACUAUUUGAAAGACAGAUUUUUAUUUUUUAUUUAAAUCUAAUUGGUAACUAUGGGUUUCUUCUGCUCACUUGAUAUAAUGUUGUCUGCCUUGAACUUUAAUAUUGCAACUUAGUUUGAGAUCCAAGCUGAUUGUUACAAGACCUACAUACCCAGUGUUAAAGAGUGUACCAAGUUCAUAUACACCUAACUAACAGAGAGAAUGUCUGAGAGAACCAUUAGAGCCAGAGAGAGAGGAGUAGAGGAAGAAUGCAGGUCAAAUGAGUUUUAACCCUUUAACUGUCUCUUAAAAACAGUGUAGAACAAUUAUUUCACCUUAAAUUCCUAGUUCUAACAACUCAAAUAAGAACUCCCAAUCGCAUUUACAAAUGCAUGUUUAUUUAGGAAAUUACAGAGCUCUAUCAGGCGGUUGAGUUGUCAAAAGAGGGUCAUACCAGCAAUGCCAUAUUAGAAUGGCUAUUUGCAUAGCAUUUUUACUAAUCUCAAGAAUAUUACAUAAAUUACUUUAAAUCCGCUUGAAUGGCUUUUAUAGGGAGGUUAGCAUUGUUAAAUGAGGACAGAUGUCAAAUUUAACCAAAUGAUUGUAACUUUGUGUCCAAAUAAUAUUCAGAUGCAUUGAAAAUAAUGCAUUUUCAGUUGGUCUAUAGUGCAAUGUCACCAACAAUGUUUUUCUUACAUUUCAAAUGUCCGCCAUAUUUCCCACAUGUUCAGACUACCUUUUAAGAUAAUAUAUGACAAAGUGCAAUUUUUUUAUUACUAUUAAGGGCAUUCUUUUAUAGUCAGAAUAUGAAUUAAUUGGCCCUAUGGGGCAUGAAAUGUGGUUUAAGAAAUGUGUUGCAUAAUUGUGUGUUGUCAACAAUUCAAUCAAAUGUUUCACCAAAAUAAAUACGAUUUUAUAUAUAUAUACACACACAUCAUUCUUUUUACUGACAUCAACCACCUGGUUGAGCAUAUUUCAUUUUUUAAAUUCUAGAUUUUUUGCCUUUUUACAUUUUGAACAUUGUAUUUACAUAUUUCUACUCUUCAAGGUUUUCUACUGACAGGAAUGGUGCAAUUUUCACUCUUCACCAACUGAAUUCCUGCCUUUUAUCCCUUCUCUUUGGUGGCUGAUUUUGACCUACAGCCCUCUGAACGGGCAAAGUUAGUGCCACAACACUGC